GUCUUACGUUAUUUUCCUCCUCUCUCGCUCUCUCUCUCUCUCUCACUCUCUCUCUCUCUCUCUCGUUUAAUCUGUCCAAAUGAGAGCACUCGUUUUUUUCUCUCUACGAUCAAUCUCGCGAAAUCUUAUAAAAGAGACUACGAACACCUGUGAUGGUUCUUUAGAUUUCUCUCGCGCGUCACCGCGACGAUGCUUUUACGUCCGUCCGUCCAACCGUCCGACCGUACGUUCGUUCGUCCAUCCAUCCAUCCAUCCAUCCAUCCAUCCAUCCAUCCAUCUAGCUAUCCAGUAUCCAUCCAUCCAUCCGUGCAUGCUUGCAUGCAUUCAUGCAUCUAAAUCCUAUUCAUCCAUCCCAUCCAUUCUCAUUCGCGUUCAAGAAACUAUGAAAAUGAGCAAGGGAACAGGCAAGCUAAAACACCUUCCUUGCUAUCUUCUUUUUGCCUACGAAUCCUUACGUGCAUGCAUAUCGCGGAUAUAGUCGAGGGUCGUGCGCGCGUGCCGCCUUAUUCUCCCGCUCCUGCGUCCGUUUCUCUCCCUCUCCACGUUCACAAGCUUUACGUGCGCGUACGCGAAGCGUAGCCUCUCACUCUGCUUAUUCUAUCUCUCUUCUCUUUCUCUCUCUCUCCCUCUCUCUUUCUCUCUCUCUCUCUCUCUCUCUCUCUCUCUCUCUCUCUCUCUCUCUCUCUCUCUCGUCGCCCGCCAAGCUUUCUUACGUUCCGUGAUCUCGCGCGCCGUAUCUUCGUUUAUCGUUCUCUAUAUGCGCACACACACACACACACAUACGCGCACGCGCCGCCCGCCUUCUCCCACACGCAUACGCAUGUAUAUAUACACAUACGUACUUAAUAUAUGUAUAUUUAUAUUUUGUAUUAUUACAUAUAUGUACAUACGUAUGUUGCGUGUAUGUAUAUAUUAUGACUGUGUGCGCGAGCGAGCGCGCCCGCGCACCAGUUAAAAAGCAUGUGUACGCGAAACGAAAUGACGAGAAGACAGACACGAUGAUGGUGAAUGAUGACGAUGACUAUAUGUCGACAAUAUCGGUAGCCUCUGGCGGCGGCGGCGAUAUAAGCGGUGGUGGCGGUAGCCGCUACGACGGUGGCGGUAGUGGCGCGCAACUGAAGAUGCACAAUGCCGGCCGGCAUUUUUAUCCCUAUCUACUUUCUAUGAUAAAGUUCAUUUUUUCAUUACGAUUUCAUAAUACGCGAUUGAACUUUUCAUCAUCGUCGACAAUUCUAAUUAACAGAAAAACUUGCCUCCAUGUUUUCCCUUUUAGAAAAUUAAUGCUAAAAACAUGAAUCGAGAUAAGGGACGCCAUUGUAAUGUCGCGUGGCCGCCACGAGUACGCCACCGAGCUGAUUACUUCUGUUUUCUCUCUCUCUCUCUCUCUCUCUAUAUAUAUAUAUAUAUGUAUGUAUGUAUGUAUGUAUAUAUAUAUUUAUCUAUCCCUUCUUCCAUUCUCGUAAUACUCGAUAAAAGUACAUAUUUUUUAUAUUUUAUUCUUUUUUUCUUUCAUCGUCCCACUAUUUUAAUCAUAAUUUUUAAGACAUGUUAUUCUACGUUUCGACGACGGUACUUAUAGUGCCAUGUGCUUCCCCCUCUUCCCCUUCUUUCCUUCCUCUUUAUCUAGCCACAUUCGUUGACGGAUCUACGUUGCCCAUCAUCGACGCUUCGAAAUAGAACGCGGUUUUUUCCUUAUCUCGAAUGUCUCAUUCCUUUCUAUGUGUAACUUUUCCUUUAUUGACUACGCAAUUUCCUCUAAUAUUCCCAUUGCUUAAGAUAUAAUAUAAAAGUGUACACAUUUUUUUUUCUUCCCAUCUGACGACGACGAUGACGACGACGACGACGCCACCUUCUCGAAGUCUCCCAUUAUGGCGCCCGAAACCAAGCCCGCGUUCGUUUCUCUGUCUUUCUCGCUUUCGUUCUCUAUCCAUUUGUCUUUUUUCUUCUUCCGUGCCACUCCCCUCCUACCUUAACGUAGCUUGGCUGUUCUCUCUUUCUAUCAUUCUCCCUCCGCCUACUGCUCGUCAUUCUCACGUUCUUUCUCCCUCCCUCUCGCUGUCGUAAUUGAUCGAUAAUUCGUCGUAAGCGGGUUAAUCGUGUCCGGCGAAUAGGACCGAUCGAUAGGGCAACGCUUAUAUAUCCCUUUGACCGACACGUUCCUUUGAAAUUGUUAACAGUUUUAAUUGUAUAAAUAUCGCGCCAAGGGAUUUCUCUGUACCUCUCUUCGUUUCUCUUUCAUUCUUUCUUUUCUCUCUCAAACCUACACACACACAUACUCUCAAGUCACGCAAAGAGCGAACGAAUGAGAGAGAUAGAGAGAAUAGACUACGCACCGCGUCGCGCUCUAGCUUGCUUGUACACAUCUCUUCGUAAUAUCUAACAUUCGCCGCGUCCUUUUUCCCUCGCCAAUGAAAACCCCACGCGCGCGCGACUAGCGGCAAAGCCGUGCAUUAUAAUACCCCCGUGUGUUUCUCUUGUCUCCCUGUCUCUCUUUCGCGAAGUAACCGUGCCAGCAACUAGACGACGUCGACGAACAACGCUGAAGAAGAAGACGGCGACAUCGUUAUAUGAACUUUCGAGAAAACAUCGAACAGUUAAUUGAUCGCAAUACACUACUUUCGUCUUUCGUCUACUGAAGCUUUGGAAAAUAACG